AGUUGCGCCUGAAGCCAUUAGGUUGAGGGCACGUCUGCCUGGGUGUCACAGAUUGCUGCCCAAUCCCAAUUACCUAAUGAUGGGUACUAAUUGGGUAGGGUGAAUGCUGGCUUCCCGUGAGCACUGUUGUCUCUCGGUUGGUUGAAAAUGGAGUGCAUGAUAGGGUGUGCCAUGAUAGAUGGUGGUUGAGUGAUGCUCGAGACCAAUCAUGCGUGACCCUAUUGAACUUGGCCUCUGUAACCCACAUGUGUCUUUGGACGCUCAUGAUGAGACCUCAGGUCAGGCGGGGCUACCCGCUGAGUUUAAGCAUAUCAAUAAGCGGAGGAAAAGAAACUAACGAGGAUUCCCUUAGUAACGGCGAGCGAACAGGGAAGAGCCCACCAUGAGAAUCGGUCGCCCUCGGCGUUCGAAUUGUA
rnacentral:rRNA from 1 species